AGAAGACAGACGCUUAACUGACUGAGCCACUCACAUGUCCUGAGAAUGGGAGUUUUAAAGGGAAAGAAGAAAGGGAAAAUUAGGGAGAAGUUGUGUGAUUAACUUGGACUGCACUCAGCAAAGGCCAAGCCAACUCUCUGUUAUUUAAAACAUGGUAUAACACCACAUACCCAUCAGGACCUAAAUGAUGCUAACCAAUAAGACGGGUGAGGAAGCACCAGGAACCUGGCUUCAAUUCCUAACAUGGCUCUCCAGAUUAAAGUUUGUGCACACUGUAUGUCAGAGGACACAUUUUGCUAGAAGGCAAAGUUUAUAUUCCUGGCACUUUAUAUAUAAACCCAGGAGGAAAAGAACAGGGUAAUGUCUCCAUGGCUGGCAUCUUGAAGGUGUACAUCAAGUCCACAGAAUGGCCACUGGGAAUUUAUAAAGUGAGGAGAGGCCUUCUUUCUUCUGAAAGCUUGGACCUCAGAUGAGCCACCUGUCCGUGACUUUAGCUUUUUUUCUCCUCAGAGGAAAAAUAAAUACAAAUCACUUGGUAUAGUUGACAGCCUUCAAUUAGAAGGAUUUAUAGAAUCAUGCAGUCAAAAGGGAAACUGAGAGCCCAUAGAGUUCAUUGCCCUGUCAAUAAUUGACAUUCCAAGUAGACUAGCUCUCUUUUUAGAGCUUUUCAGAGAAAAAGAUUACAUUCUCACUCUGGAUGAAUAAUACUGAUAUUUAAUAAUCCUUAUUGUAGGAUGCUCCUCUUUUAACCUAAAUAGUAGAGUUGGAAACUAUUGGCUCCUUGUCCAUAUAGAUCUAUAGCCUCUGGCUGAGACUUGACAUUGAUAGGUGCCCAGGAUCAGAUCCAGAAAGGCUACCCCUGCCGUGUUCCCAUGGGCAGAGCCAGCCAAAUGCUAAGAUGACUCUCAAGAUUCCCUAUAAUAGAUGUAUUUAUCCAUGAGAGACAGAGAUGGAGGGAGGCAGAGGGAGAAGCAGGCUCCGCAAGGAGCAGUCAGCCUCGUGCAGGAUUCUACCCCAGGAACCUGGAUCAUGACCUGAGCCAAAGGCAGGCAGACGCUUUACCAACUGAGCCACCAGGUACCCUACGUACAUAUUGUUCAAAACUGGACUUA